rnacentral:lncRNA from 1 species
GUUUUCGACAUUUUGUAUUCGGGUUGAAUACAAAGGAUAGUGGAUUGAAAUUCCCAAGUAGGAUCUUGGGGAGUGGAUGUAGGUGCAAGGUUAGCACCGAACCACUAUAAAUCCUUGUGUUUGUGGUGUGCUUUAUCUCUUCACUUUAUUUCUUUAUUAUAUUCUUGCAUUCCUGCCUUAGGGAAUUAAUAUUGAAUUAAAGUCUUUGUUUUGUUCUUCAUAAGUAAUCUGUUGGGCUUAAAAUUUUUUAGAAACCCAAUUCACCCCCCCUCUUGGGUUGCAUAGCUGGGCAACAGCUGAACCCAACCAAGUGCACUUUUGGAGUAACCUCAGAGAAAUUCUUGGGCUUUAUGGUAUCGGGGC